rnacentral:rRNA from 1 species
AGUGCAUGUGGUGGAUGCCUUGGCAGUCAGAGGCGAUGAAAGACGUGAUAGCCUGCGAAAAGCUCCGGGGAGGCGGCAAAUAUCCUUUGAUCCGGAGAUGUCUGAAUGGGGGAACCCACCUACUUUAAGGUAGGUAUUGCAACAUGAAUACAUAGUGUUGCAAGGCGAACGAGGGGAAGUGAAACAUCUCAGUACCCUUAGGAAAAGAAAUCAAUUGAGAUUCCCUCAGUAGCGGCGAGCGAACGGGGAUCAGCCCAUUAAGUUAUGUGUGUUUUAGUGGAACGCUCUGGGAAGUGCGAACGUAGAGGGUGAUAUUCCCGUACACGAAAGGGCACACAUAAUGAUGACGAGUAGGGCGAGGCACGUGAAACCUUGUCUGAAUAUGGGGGGACCAUCCUCCAAGGCUAAAUACUCCUGACUGACCGAUAGUGAACCAGUACCGUGAGGGAAAGGCGAAAAGAACCCCUGUGAGGGGAGUGAAAUAGAUCCUGAAACCGCAUGCAUACAAGCAGUGGGAGCACCUUCGUGGUGUGACUGCGUACCUUUUGUAUAAUGGGUCAGCGACUUAUAUUCAGUAGCGAGGUUAACCGUAUAGGGGAGCCGUAGAGAAAUCGAGUCUUAAUAGGGCGUUUAGUUGCUGGGUAUAGACCCGAAACCAGGCGAUCUAUCCAUGAGCAGGUUGAAGGUUGGGUAACACUAACUGGAGGACCGAACCCACUGUCGUUGAAAAGCCAGGGGAUGACUUGUGGAUAGGGGUGAAAGGCUAAUCAAGCCUGGUGAUAGCUGGUUCUCCCCGAAAGCUAUUUAGGUAGCGCCUCGGACGAAUACCAUAGGGGGUAGAGCACUGUUUCGGCUAGGGGGUCAUCCCGACUUACCAAACCGAUGCAAACUCCGAAUACCUAUGAGUACUAUCCGGGAGACAGACUGCGGGUGCUAACGUCCGUAGUCAAGAGGAAAACAAUCCAGACCGCCAGCUAAGGCCCCAAAAUCAUAGUUAAGUGGGAAACGAUGUGGGAAGGCAUAGACAGCUAGGAGGUUGGCUUAGAAGCAGCCACCCUUUAAAGAAAGCGUAAUAGCUCACUAGUCGAGUCGGCCUGCGCGGAAGAUGUAACGGGGCUAAAACUAUGUGCCGAAGCUGCGGAUGUAUACUUUGUAUACGUGGUAGGGGAGCGUUCUGUAAGCCGAUGAAGGUGUGUUGAGAAGCAUGCUGGAGGUAUCAGAAGUGCGAAUGCUGACGUGAGUAACGACAAAACGGGUGAAAAACCCGUUCGCCGAAAGACCAAGGGUUCCAGUCCAACGUUAAUCGGGGCUGGGUGAGUCGACCCCUAAGGCGAGGCCGAAAGGCGUAGUCGAUGGGAAAAUGGUUAAUAUUCCAUUACUUCUGUGUAAUGCGAUGAGAGGACGGAGAAGGCUAAAUCAGCCUGGCGUUGGUUGUCCAGGUGAAAGGAUGUAGGCAUGUAUCUUAGGCAAAUCCGGGGUACUCUAUGCUGAGAUCUGAUAGCAAGCUGUACUUGUACAGCGAAGUGGUUGAUGCCAUGCUUCCAGGAAAAGUCUCUAAGCUUCAGUUACACAGGAAUCGUACCCGAAACCGACACAGGUGGUCAGGUCGAGUAGACCAAGGCGCUUGAGAGAACUCUGCUGAAGGAACUAGGCAAAAUGGUACCGUAACUUCGGGAGAAGGUACGCUGUUGUUGGUGAUGGAACUCGCUUCCUGAGCUGACGACAGCCGCAGAAACCAGGCCGCUGCAACUGUUUAUUAAAAACAUAGCACUCUGCAAACACGAAAGUGGACGUAUAGGGUGUGAUGCCUGCCCGGUGCUGGAAGGUUAAUUGAUGGGGUUAGCGUAAGCGAAGCUCUUGAUCGAAGCCCCAGUAAACGGCGGCCGUAACUAUAACGGUCCUAAGGUAGCGAAAUUCCUUGUCGGGUAAGUUCCGACCUGCACGAAUGGCAUAAUGAUGGCGGCGCUGUCUCCAGCAGAGGCUCAGUGAAAUCGAAAUCGCUGUGAAGAUGCAGUGUACCCGCGGCUAGACGGAAAGACCCCGUGAACCUUUACUG